AGAAUCCUGAUGUGUUCGUUACGAGCAAUUCAGUUUUGACCCAACAUUUUGUCGUCGGGAGACCAAAUUUCAUCAUGGCUAACAUGCCUUAACGGGAAGUUAUAAGUGGUGGAGAGGUCACCCACCUGCUAGAAGCGGGUUCAAAAACGAUGCGCAACACCAAGGACGGCACGAUUGGGAUUCUC
rfam:Planomicrobium sp. ES2 genome assembly, contig: CONTIG000001